UAGAAGAGUGGGAUGAUCGGUACUCUUCAGU
rnacentral:piRNA from 1 species